GCCACAGCUGCCCUGGGGCAGACUGACUGGCUGCCAAUCCACUCCUACAACCCCUCUGACCACCACCAACAUUACACAGCAUACACAUUCAUACACCAGUGGAAGUGGCAGCACUGGAGCUCAGGAUUACCACAGACUGACCGUGAACACCGCUGACACCCACCUGAGGGAGACGCUGCCUCAGACCUCCAGGCUGCUUGGUCGUGGUCUUUCUGCUCCAGAACAUCUUCAUCCACUACGUCUUCUUCUGAAGAGGCCCUCAGAUGCUGCAGUCUCUGACCUUAAGGAGGAACUGCUGCUUUCACUCUGUAACCAGACGGCGGUUAUUUUAAACACCCAGCUCCAGGAGGCUUUGAGUGAAAAUUUAACAUCCAUCAAAACAGAACUGCAGACAGUUAAAUCUGAGCUGUCGGUCAGUAUUUCUAACAUCAGUCUGACCCGGGUGUCCUAAAGCUCGCUGUGGGUGAAACAGAAGCUUCAGUCUCCACAUCAUCACACUCCACAGCAGAGCACCUGUCUGCUGAACGUCUAAAAGUGGACUAUAAAGGUGAAGAAUGUGAGCAGAAAGAAGUCAUUUUCUUUCUUCUUUUCUCUCUGCUUGACUUGAUGCUGUCAGAUGCAGACUGACUGAUUCUGAUCUUUCAGGAGAAAAAGCUGCUUUUCCUUCACAGACUUUUCAGGAAAUUAUUCUCUCAGGUUUUCUCUGCUGUUAUAUUUUUAUUAUCUGUGAUUAUCUCAUUAUUGGAAAAUAAAGUUGGAGGCAUAAAGACUCA